rnacentral:rRNA from 1 species
CCUACGGGAGGCAGCAGUGGGGAAUAUUGCACAAUGGGGGAAACCCUGAUGCAGCGACGCAGCGUGAAUGAUGAAGUCUUUCGGUAUGUAAAGCUCUAUCAGCAGGGAAGUAGCAUGCCGGUACCUGACUACGAAGCACCGGCUAACUACGUGCCAGCAGCCGCGGUAAUACGUAGGGGGCGAGCGUUAUCCGGAUUUACUGGGGGUAAAGGGAGCGUAGACGGUAUGGCAAGUCUGAAGUGAAAGCCCAGGGCUUAACCCUGGGAUUGCAUUGGAUACUGUUAGACUAGAGUGCUGGAGAGGUAAGUGGAAUUCGUAGUGUAGCGGUGAAAUGCUUAGAUAUUAGGAGGAACACCAGUUGCGAAGGCGGCUUACUGGACAGUAACUGACGUUGAGGCUCGAAAGUGUGGGUAUCAAACAGGAUUAGAUACCCCAGUAGUC